UCUUCUUUUGAUUCAGUCUGUUCUCCCUCAGUUGUUUCGAGGACGCCUUCUUCUUGUUUGGUCUCGGUACUCUCCGUUAUUGUCUUGGUCUCGGUCUCGGUCUCAGCUGGCUUUUCUUGAUCUUCUUCUUUCUUGGGGUCUUCUUUUGGUGCGACCACCGCUACUUCCUCUUGAUGGACAGUUUUGAUUUGCUCUUCAGGCUUAUCCUCCACGAACGCAGCUUGUGCUGAUACAACCUGUUUCGUCCACAUAAAUCAUUUCAUCAAAAUAUAUGGAUCGGCAAAAUGAACAUACAGUUAUAAAAUCGUAUAGUAGGUCGAUACUUUCAUUCGAAACCUGUGAUCUAAUAAUGCUAUGCUACUUCAUCUUUGGGUGUCUUUUGGCAAGUCACUAGCGUUAUAAAUGACAAUCCCGAAUUGAUUGUUAUUAUUCCUACUUCACUAUUCAAGAACAAAUCAUGUAACUGUUGGCAAAAACAGUUUUCCAAAUCAUCUCUUCGACAAGAGCUAAACAUGUUGAACCAAGGUUUCUAUUCUAAGAACUUCAAUGAGUAGUUAUUAGAGUUACCUCGACGGUAGCCAUAGGAGAUCCAACGGAGUUACUUUGGCAGAAGCUGCUAAGAAAAUAAACAGAAGCUAUGAGGCCAAAGAAGAUUGAAAGAGGAAGGAGAAACGAGCUAGUGGAGGGUUGGACUGUGA
rnacentral:lncRNA from 1 species